CCUGGAGAUGACUGACAUGAAAGAGGCCAUAAGACCAAGUCAGAAGGAGCAGGAGCUCAGGCACAUAGGAAGAUAUCUGAAUUAGGGCAGCCAGUUGGAUGCGUGGAGGCUUCCCCAGCCAGAGAGAGAUUGGGAAUUACGCUUCCUCAAUAGACCUGAAGCAUACCACAUAUGCCAUCAAGCGGAAGCUUUAUUAUGCAAUAAUGCACCCUGUAAACCCUUUCCCCCAAUUAAUAAUGCACAGCAUGAGGUCACUAUGCACUAUGCAUUUAAUCUUCAAAUGACGGGUAUAGUUGGGAGCUGAUGCCUCAACUGAAGUUUGAUGUGUUCAGUCAAAUAUGUUAAUACUUCUGAAAUGUUUUAGCCUUUGGCAUCCAAAUUUGAGCUUCCCCACAUGUUUGUGGUGUGCAUCACAUUCUGGUUCUUGUGUUCAGCUGAUAUGAUUAUGUCUGUUGUCUUAAUGAAUCUGCCAUGUGCUCAUGGACAAAGCCAAAGAAUUAACCUGGGUUGGGAGUGUUUCUUCUCUUACCAUUUGCUCUUUCAAUUUGGUUCAGCAUUGGUCUCUUCUUGCAAAAAGCCGAUUGGAACCAGAUUGGAAAACCAGAUUUUCCAGAUUGGAACCAAGCUGAAAAUAUAGCAGGGAAGAGUUGUUCUGGAAGUCCCUUGAGAAUUUGCCCUUUGGCAACUAAAUUUAUAUAGAUUUUAUCCCUCUUCCAACUAUCAGUGCAGUUUUUGGCAAGUCACAUACCCUGAGGGCAGACAAUUAUAUAUACUUCACCCUGGGCCUCCGGGUCUUCAUCUGAAAAGUGAAAGGACUAGGAAAGAUGAUUUUGAGGUCCUCCACCUCUAAGAUUUGAAAAGUUGAUAGUUACUGAAUAGUAAAAAUCAGAUUUUUUUGACACUAGAACAAUAGGUUUGUCCAGCUUUUUUGUAUUCUCCUAAAUUUAACUGCCUCAAGCCACUAAGACCUUUCCCAGAUGAACAUGUUGCAGGCUGGGAAAGUCUAUGGAGUUUCCUUAAAAAACUAGGCUCAGCCACUUGGCCCAUACUCAUAGGCUCCUAUUCAUUUAUCUCUUCAUUCAACAAGCAUUUAUUGAAGGCCUGUUAUGUGCUAAUUUUUAGAACUUGAUCCAAAGUUUAGUCCUUUAUCCAUCUUCCCUUAUGCUCACUUCCUUUGACAAACCAGGCAGACAACAGUAUAGGAAAUAUGUAUUUAAUCCUCAUGAAGGGUCAGAACUCAAAAAUUAAGUUUUCUAUAACAAAAUGGAAUACAGACAUGGUGGGUCCAAAGGGAGGCAGACAUCAACACAUGAAAAGUAUGGAAAAGGGGGAUGUGAACAGAACAUUCUUAAUCAAAGCUUUAUUCCUCAGGGUCUCAUUUUGAAGGUUCAUUGCCCCUGCUUUCAGAAGUCUCCAUGUAUUUCAAGGAAGGGACAUGUUUUUGCUGCCUUAAUUUGAGUGGGACUAGACAGGAUCCUGAGACCUGAAUUCACAGUGAGAGAGCUUGAGAUAAAACGCAGGAAGUUUUCACAGAACCCGAUUUGUACUGUAGAACGAAUGGAAAGGAACCAGCUGGAGAUAACCCCAUCAGGAAUUCCUGGUUGCCUGAAACUGAGCUCUGGCUCUCUGUGCUGACACAGCAGCCAAAGGAACAGAGGAUAGUGUAUAUUUGUAGGAAGCAAACAGGUUUGGUUGCUCCCCUCUUUUCUAGAUCUUUUCUACUCUACAUCAGGGUUUCUCUUGUAUCAGCACGACUGACAUUUGGGGCUGGAUAAUUCUUUAUUGUGGGUGGCUAUCCUGCUUUGGAUGUUGAGCAGCAUCCCUAGGUUCUGUCUAUAGCAUUAGCACCCUCCCCUCUCCCCCAAGUUGUGACAACUAAAAUUGUCUCCAAACAUUUCCAGACAUGUGUCCUGUAUUGGGGGGGAAGGGGUGGGAAAAAUCACCCCAGCUAAGUCCCACUGCUCUAGAUGCUGUUGAAGGCUGAGGUUAUCGCUGUCCAUGCAAGACAGAAUGCUGAAACCUCAAACCUUGUGAUGGCAUAAUGCCAUAUACAGUGAUGAUGA
rnacentral:lncRNA from 1 species